UUGGGGAAUGCAGCUCUAACUGGGUGGUAAAUUCCAUCUAAAGCUAAAUAUUGGCGAGAGACCGAUAGCGAACAAGUACAGUGAUGGAAAGAUGAAAAGAACUUUGAAAAGAGAGUGAAAAAGUACGUGAAAUUGUUGAAAGGGAAGGGCUUGAGCUCAGUGGCAUCCUUGGUAUUUUGUAUGGCUUGCUUUCGGGCGGGUCGCUCUGCAGUUUACUGGGCCAGCAUCGGUUUGGGUGGCAGGAUAAUAGCAUAGGAAUGUGGCUUUCGUGGAGUGUUAUAGCCUUUGUUGAUACUGCCUGCCUAGACCGAGGACUGCGUCUUUUGACUUCUGGAUGCGGGCAUAAUGGUCCUAAGCCGCCCGUCCUGAAACACGGACCAAGGAGUUUAACGUCUGUGCGAGUGUUUGGGUGUAAAACCCGUACGCGGAAUGAAAGUGAACGUAGAUGAGAGCCUUUUGGGCGCAUCAUCGACCGAUCCUGAUGUCUUGGGAGGACGGUUUGAGUGUGAGCAUACCUGUUGGGACCCGAAAGAUGGUGAACUAUGCCUGAAUAGGGUGAAG
rnacentral:rRNA from 1 species